AUCCCUCCUCUUCCCCUUUACGCUUCGUCCUCUCUCAUUCUCUUCUUCCUGUUGCCUUCUACGUUUCUGUGCGUUUUUAGACCCUAUUCUCUUUUCUCUCUCCCGUCUAUCGCCCCAUUCCUUGCCCCUCCCCUGGCUUUUAUACUAUUUCGAGGGAAUCUCUUUAAAUUCCGUAUCUCACCUCUAAAAAUAUUACGCUGUCUUACUUUUGAUUUCUUUGGCUUAUCGAAAAUUAUGAUGUCAAUGCAAUACCCCAUCUGACAUGCCACCCAGUGCGUCUCUGGACGCCUGAAGCAGCAGCACAUAGAUUUGGUAAAGGCAAUUUUCUGUUAUUUUCUCUAGUAUUGAAAGGGGGUACAGAGGGUGUGUAGCCCGCUGUGAUAUACGCCAAUACAGUCCUGUGGUCACUGGUCUUAACCAAUGAUUGAAUGGUCUUAACCUGAGAAUCAAUAGUUGAUCGACAGUCUGUUUUCAACGUCCAGCUCCACGGGAAUCUGUCACAGGAUGUCACAAGAGGGACUCUCCCAUUGAAUUCACUCCUGGAGAAUAGUCAUGAUGGUGUCAGGGACCGGGUGGAUUCUCUUCUGCCUCUUUCUACUGGGGGAGAGAACAAGACUUGACUGUGGGGAACUGCAGUGCUCACUGUCUCCAGCCGGGGCGCUUCACCCUGUGCAGGGGCUGUUGGAGCGCUUUGAGGCCGGCCCGGGCUGUGCAGCCAGAGAGAGCGGGGAGAAAGAGACCCAUGUGAUCGCUGUGGGGAGAGGGACACGCAGCCCUGACAAACAGGUGACUGUGCUCCUGAGACCCCUGUCUCUGUCUCACCCCUCCCGUCAAACCCUCAUUCUGGUACUGAGCUCCAAGCAACCAGUACGCUGGUGGCUGGAGGCUGAGAGACUACCCCCGGAUCUGCCUGUGCUGGUGCAGGUCUCUCCUAACUCUACAGUGCAGCCCUCCAGUCUGGCAGUGCAGGUGCAGCCUGUGCCCUCUCUGCCUUUCCGUCCGCGGGCUUUGCUGCGAUGGGCAAUGCAUCGCCAUGGCUCCUUGUCCUCCCUCACACACACAGCCAGUGCCAACCGCGUCUAUGUCCGCGUGGGCGAGGAUAUCACCAUGCCAAGUGUGUGCCAGCUGCAGUCUCUGUUCCUGUCACACAACUACCUGACCUCUGACCUGCAGCCACAGGAAGUACAGGGCUGUUCUCCAGUUGGUGGAGGCGACCCAGAAGUGCAUGUCAUCAAGCUCCUUUCAGCAGGGUCAAGGCUUUGUGGCUCUCUGCAGGUGGAGGUGACUAUUUCUCUGGUGCCCCCAGUGGCCAAUGCUGGGUGGCACAAAUUGGUGCUGAUCCUCAGUAGUGCCGUUCCAGUCAACUGGGCUCUCACAGUGCCAGGGCUCCGGGGACACAUCUCUGUCUAUUCCUCCAACAGUGUGUCCCCACUCUACCCUCCGGAGCCUGACCUGACACUGACUAGCAUGCUCACCUCUGACCUCUCUACCACCCAUGACCUUUUGAGCUGGGCCAAUCAAAGUGGCUUUCCCAAAGUGGCCUCAUACACAGAGGCUGACCUGGCCAAUCACUUUGUGAUCAGACUGGCUGGGGGAGGGACAGAAGGUGGCCCCCCUGUGCGUAUGCUGGAUGGCAGGCUCCCUUGGGUCCAGGAGCGCAGGCUGAGACAGUGGCUGAGUGAGGGAGGUGGAAGGACCAGUGGGGGCUGGGAGGCCGUCAGUGUGCAGUGUCAGGACGGACGACUCAACGUGGCAGUGGACAGACACAUUCUGCAGACCCUGUCUCUCCCGGUGUCGGAGGUGACACUGCGGGAUCCUCAGUGCCUGGCCCAGUCCAACAGCAGCCAUUUCUUGUUGGCAUUCCCGGUCAUUUCCUGUGGGACUGAAGGGGUGCUGCAGGGAGAGCCCAGAGGGGUAGAGUACAAAAAUGUGGUGUUGCUAUGGAGAAACAAGCCUCUGGUUGCCGUGGGCAAUGAGACAGACCAGGAGCCCACAGAGUGGACUCCACUUGUCAUACAUUUCAGCUGUUUUGCUGCAGUCCCCAGUGUCCCAAGCCUUCCUGUGGAGCAGCCCACUCUGCAGGGGCCGGGGCCUCUCCCAAGGGCCAGGGCCGGCCCACUAGUCUCACUGCAGCUGUUUGUUACAGAGGGCUAUGAGCAGAGGCAGACCGGUCCUUGUACCAUCACUGCUGACAACCGUGUCUAUGUGGAGCUUUCCGCCAAGGGGGCCCUCGGUGGGGGUGUGGAGGUGCGGUCCUGCAUGGUGUCUCCCCUAUCAGACCCCCGUGUGUCCCCUGGCUGGUCAGUCAUUAGAGACGGCUGCUCCGCUGACUCCUCACUGACACUCAGCAACAUGGCACAUGGCCAAGAGGAAGAUGAGGAUGAUGAGGAAUAUUAUGAAGAGGAAGAGGAGGUACCUAGUGUCCUGUCGUUCAGGCAUCCAGGAAGGGCUUGGAGGAACAAAGCAGGAUUGAGAAAAAGAGAACACGGUGGGAAGAGGGGACGAGGAGGACGAGCCAAAAGGAAGGAGAGCGAUGGAGGAAUGGGAGGAGAGGAGGACCAGAUACACAGACUGAGGUUCAGUUUUGUCCUUCGGCCCAUCUACAACAACUCUGUCCAGUUCCUGCACUGUCGCAUCUGUCUGUGUGGCCCUGAGUCAGUGACACAGGGGCCUCCAACGGCCAUAAUACAGAGUGGCUGUCCAAAUCCCUGGGGCCUCCGUAUCCCUGCCCUCGUAUCUGAACUACCCAGUCAACAGUGUGAGUACAGAAACUUCUCCAGACCCAUGCUGGUCUAUCAGCCCGUUGGUGUGGCCAGACAGCUGGCGCUACCUGCUGGUCAGAGAGGUCAAAUGCCCAGUGUGUCUCAGCUACCCAAGCCUAUCCCAGCCCACAGCAGCUCUGGGGUAGACACAGGCUCAGUGUUGGGGAUUGUGUUUGUUGCUUUCCUUCUGGGCAUCAGCCUGAUGGGGGCGCUAUGGUGCAUCUACUCUCACACAGGUAACCACACGGGACAGUUCCUAAAGUCUAUCCUGGACCAAAGGCCAAAAUACUGAGCUAUACCACCAUAUUCACAAAUAAACGGAAAACAUUCUAUACCUGCUGCUACUGUUUGUUAUCUGUCACUUUAUUUCUAGUUAUAUGUACAUAUCUACCUUGAUUACCUCAUAACCCUGCACAUCCACUUGGUACUGGUUACCCUUAUAUAAAGCCAAGUUAUCAUGACUAAUUUUCUUUCUCUGCAUUGUUGGGAAGGGCCCGUAAGUAAGCAUUUCACUGUUAGUCUACACCUGUUGUUUUUUCGAAGCAUGUGACAAAUAACAUUUGAUUUUAUUUGACGUAGUGUAAGAGAAGAUACUAUGACAACUUUCUUAUUAUUUUUGAGAGAAAUGCUGGGUUUUUUCACCAUGAAUAAAUGUUAGUGAAACACUUGACAUGUGAUUGGUUGCAGGGGCUCCUCCACCAACCAGAAGAGGGGGCCUGAUCGAGAAUACUAACCCUGCCUUAUUAGACUCUUCCAACAGCUCUGUGUAGAGGUGAGAUGGAACGUGAUAAGAGUGGAACAACACACACAGCAGCUGGGGGACCACAAAUGUUUCCUCUGGUAAAUCUGAGACCGAGGGUAAAGUGGAACAGAAGAUGAAACACCUGGUGUGUGUAUGGGAGUGUGUCAGACCUGGGUUGAAAUACAUGCGUAUUUAAGUAUUUGUUAUUUAAAUACUUAUUUUCUGUGUAUUUUUGUAUUUUCAAAUAAUGUGGCCAAUCAGCUAAUUUUACUUGGAAGUAUUUAAAAAAUAACUUCCUAUAAAUAGCAGAAAAUAUUUUCAAAUACAUUAUUUCAAAAACCCUAGGACCAAACAGACCUGGGUUCAAAUGCAUGCAGUAUUUUAAUAUUUGUAUUUGAAAAUAGUUGAGCAUUUCCAAAUUCAUUCAGUACUCAUUAAGUACUGAAAAAUAUCCAGAUACUUACUUCAAAAUGUCUUUGGAAGUAAUUGAAAUACCCUAAAUAGUUUUUGAUACAUAUACACUGAGUAUACAAAAUAUUGAGAACACCUGCUCUUUCCAUGACAUAGACUAACCAGGUGAAUCCAGGUGAAAGUUAUGAUCCCUUAUUGAUGUCCCUUGUUAAAUCCACUUCAAUCAGUGGAGAUGAAGGGGAGGAGACAGGUUAAAGAAGGAUUUUUAAGCCUUGAGACAAUUGAGACAUGGAUUGUGUAUGUGUGAAAUUCAGAGAGUGAAUGGGCAAGACUAAAUAUUUAAGUUCCUUUGAACGGGGAAUGGUAGUAGGUGCCAGGGACACCAGUUUGUGUCAAGAAUUACAACGCUGCUGAGUCCCCCCCCCCCCCCCCCCCCCCCCGCAGUUUCCCAUGUGUACCAUGAAUGGUCCACUACCUAAAGGACACAACUGUGGGAAGCAUUGAAGUCCACAUGGGCCAGCAUCCCUGUGGAACGCUUUCGAUACCUUGUACAGUCCAUGCCCCAAAUAAUUAAGGCUGUUCUGAGGGCAGAAGGGAGGGGGGGUGCAACUCAAUAUUAGGAAUGUGUCCUUAAUGUUUUGUAUACUUGGUGUACACAUGCUUGAAGCAAUGAGAUGUGUAAAGGUCUGAAAGACUGAGGCUACAUGAAUGUCUACAGGUACAUGGCCUCAGCAACUCCUCAAAGUGUUGGAAGAAAUACUAUUCAGUGCAUCUGAUCCAUUACACUGUAUCUACAAUGUCAUAACCUGGGCUCAUAGAAUGGAAUGGUGUGAUUACUGGCUAUAGGACGAGCAUGAAUCUGAACAUAGCCUAAUGUUAAAACAGAAAUAAGCACUACAGAGUUUAAAGAGGAGGAACACAUGAAGUCAAAUAUAUGUCAUGAGUAGACUGUGUGUGAGGGGAAUUGCCAUUAUCCAGAUCCUUAUUGUAUAUAUAUAUGUUGUAAAUGUGACCCUUUGUUUGAUAUUACCUGUGCUGUUGCUAUUUAAAUUAAAUAUCUGUGGCUGA